AGAUGGCUGGGUAAUUGCUUGAUCUUUGGAUCAAGAGGAAAGUCCGGACUCCACAAAAACAAGGUGCUGGGUAAUCCCCAGCGGGGGCAACCCUAGGGAAAGUGCCACAGAAAAUAUACCGCCCGCAAGGGUAAGGGUGAAAUGGUGUGGUAAAAGCGCACCGCACUUUUGGUGACAAAAGUGGCAGGGUAAACCCCACCUGGAGCAAGACCAAAUAGGAAUGGCAUAGGGUCGGUUUUUGGAUCGUCAUUCGGGUAGGUCGCACGAGGUAUUUGGUAACAAAUAUCCUAGAUGAAUAAUUACCCCCAGUAAUGGGACAAAAUCCGGCUUAUAGGCCGUCUGC
rnacentral:RNase_P_RNA from 1 species